GACGAAGGUGGCGAGCGUUGUUCGGAAUCACUGGGCAUAAAGCGCACGUAGGCGGCGACGUAAGUUGGGUGUGAAAUCCCCCGGCCCAACCGGGGAACUGCGCCCAGUACUGCGUUGCUUGAGGAUCCAAGGGGUGCAUGGAAUUCCCGGUGGAGCGGUGAAAUGCGUUGAUAUCGGGAGGAACUCCGGCGGCGAAAGCGGUGCACUGGUGGAUUACUGACGCUGAGGUGCGAAAGCCAGGGGAGCAAAC
rnacentral:rRNA from 1 species